rnacentral:rRNA from 1 species
GACGAACGCUGGCGGCGUGCUUAACACAUGCAAGUCGAACGGAAAGGCCUGCUUUCCCUUGUGGAUUGCGGGUACUCGAGUGGCGAACGGGUGAGUAACACGUGAGUGAUCUGCCCCAAACUUGGGUAUAAGCCUGGGAAACUGGGUCUAAUUCCCGAUAGGACUGCAGGGUGGUGCCUGUGGUGGAAAACGAUUUUCUAGUGGUUGGGGAUGAGCUCGCGGCCUAUCAGCUUGUUGGUGGGGUAAUGGCCUACCAAGGCGGCGACGGGUAGCCGGCCUGAGAGGGUGGACGGCCACAUUGGGACUGAGAUACGGCCCAGACUCCUACGGGAGGCAGCAGUGGGGAAUAUUGCACAAUGGGCGGAAGCCUGAUGCAGCGACGCCGCGUGGGGGAUGACGGCCUUCGGGUUGUAAACUCCUUUCGACCGCGAGGAAGCCACCUGGUUGGAAGGGUGGUGACGGUAGUGGUAGAAGAAGCACCGGCUAACUACGUG